rnacentral:rRNA from 1 species
CUGCGCCACAAGUGGUGGUCGCGUUUAUUGGGCCUAAAGCGUCCGUAGCUGGAUUGGUAACUCCUUUGUGAAAUUGUCGGGCUUAACCUGACAACGUGCAGAAGAAACUGCUAAUCUUGAGACCGGAGAGAAGUUAGAAGUAUGCCAGGGGGAGCGGUAAAAUGCUAUAAUCCUUGGUAGACUACCUGUGGCGAAGGCGUCUAACUAGAACGGAUCUGACAGUGAGGGACGAAAGCUAGGGGAGCAAUCCGGAUUAGAUACCCGAGUAGUCC